rnacentral:rRNA from 1 species
GCGGCAGGCCUAACACAUGCAAGUCGAGCGGAUGAGAAGAGCUUGCUCUUCGAUUCAGCGGCGGACGGGUGAGUAAUGCCUAGGAAUCUGCCUGGUAGUGGGGGACAACGUUUCGAAAGGAACGCUAAUACCGCAUACGUCCUACGGGAGAAAGCAGGGGACCUUCGGGCCUUGCGCUAUCAGAUGAGCCUAGGUCGGAUUAGCUAGUUGGUGAGGUAAUGGCUCACCAAGGCGACGAUCCGUAACUGGUCUGAGAGGAUGAUCAGUCACACUGGAACUGAGACACGGUCCAGACUCCUACGGGAGGCAGCAGUGGGGAAUAUUGGACAAUGGGCGAAAGCCUGAUCCAGCCAUGCCGCGUGUGUGAAGAAGGUCUUCGGAUUGUAAAGCACUUUAAGUUGGGAGGAAGGGCAGUAAGUUAAUACCUUGCUGUUUUGACGUUACCGACAGAAUAAGCACCGGCUAACUCUGUGCCAGCAGCCGCGGUAAUACAGAGGGUGCAAGCGUUAAUCGGAAUUACUGGGCGUAAAGCGCGCGUAGGUGGUUCGUUAAGUUGGAUGUGAAAGCCCCGGGCUCAACCUGGGAACUGCAUCCAAAACUGGCGAGCUAGAGUAUGGUAGAGGGUGGUGGAAUUUCCUGUGUAGCGGUGAAAUGCGUAGAUAUAGGAAGGAACACCAGUGGCGAAGGCGACCACCUGGACUGAUACUGACACUGAGGUGCGAAAGCGUGGGGAGCAAACAGGAUUAG